GAUCAAAUCAAGCGCAAAAAGGGCGUUUGGUGAAUGCCUUGGCAGUAAGAGGCGAUGAAGGACGUGAUACUCUGCGAUAAGUUGCGGCGAGUUGAGAAUAAGCUUUGACCCGCAAAUUUCCGAAUGGGGAAACCCACCUGUCAGGAAUCAGUAUUCAGGGAUCAGUGAUCAGAAGCAAUUUUGAUACCUGACCUCUGACAUCUGGUACCUGAAUCGGGUAUUUUUAACCUGAAUAUAUAGGGUUAAAAAGGCAAACCCGGGGAACUGAAACAUCUAAGUACCCGGAGGAAAGGAAAUCAACAGAUACUCCCCUAGUAGCGGCGAGCGAACGGGGACCAGCCGAGCUGUGAUUGUGACAAGAACAACCUGGAAAGGUUGGCCAUAGUGGGUGACAGCCCCGUAUUGGAAGCAAGAUCAGACGUAUUAAGUAGGGCGGGACACGUGAAAUCCUGUCUGAACAUGGGGGGACCACCCUCUAAGGCUAAGUACUCCUUACUGACCGAUAGUGAACCAGUACCGUGAGGGAAAGGUGAAAAGCACCCCGACGAGGGGAGUGAAACAGUUUCUGAAACCGGACGCCUACAAACAGUUGGAGGGGCCUUGCGCCCUGACAGCGUACCUUUUGUAUAAUGGGUCAUCGACUUGGUCUCACAAGCAAGCUUAAGCCGAUAGGUGUAGGCGCAGCGAAAGCGAGUCUGAAUAGGGCGACUGAGUUUGUGGGAUCAGACCCGAAACCGAGUGAUCUAGGCAUGAUCAGGUUGAAGGUGCAGUAACAUGCACUGGAGGACCGAACCCACUGACGUUGAAAAGUCACGGGAUGAAUUGUGCCUAGGGGUGAAAGGCCAAUCAAACUCGGAGAUAGCUGGUUCUCUGCGAAAUCUAUUUAGGUAGAGCGUCAUCCGAAUACCCUCGGGGGUAGAGCACUGGAUGGGUAACGGGGCCCCACAGGCUUACUGAUCCUAACCAAACUCCGAAUACCGAGGAGUACUAGAUGGCAGACAGACUACGGGUGCUAACGUCCGUGGUCGAAAGGGAAACAACCCUGACCUACAGCUAAGGCCCCUAAUUCGUGGCUAAGUGGUAAAGCAGGUGAGACGACCAAAACAACCAGGAAGUUGGCUUAGAAGCAGCCAUCUUUUAAAGAUAGCGUAACAGCUCACUGGUCUAGAUAAGUUGUCUUGCGGCGAAAAUGUACCGGGGCUCAAGCCACGAGCCGAAGCUUAGGAUGCAGGGAUCAGUUAUCAGUAAUCAGGAAUCAGAUGGAAAAACCUUCUAAUAUGGUGCGUCAAUUUGAAGACCUUGCGGUCUUCAGGCGGGCCUAUCGUCUGUCUCUUGAAAUUCAUACGGCCAGCAUGGCUUUUCCGAAGGAAGAGCAAUUUGGCAUGGCGUCGCAGAUGCGGCGCGCGUCAAAAUCCAUUCCGGCGAAUAUUGCCGACGGAUUUGGCAAGCAACGUCUGUCCAAGGCGGAACUCAAUCGCUUUCUGAUGAUGGCGAUGGGGUCUGCCGACGAAAUGCGGGUCUGGACCCGCUAUUGCCUCGAUCUGAAUUUUAUCGAGGACGCGACGUGGCGCCAAUGGCGCGAUGAAUACCAAGAGAUUGCAAAAAUGCUGCACGGCCUAAUCGACGCGCAGCGCCAAGGUUAAUCUUUCUGAUCCCUGAUUCCUGAUAUCUGAUCCCUGCAUGGUAGCAGAGCGUAGUGUGAUAUAAUUCCAUUCCUCUUUAGCGCCUUCGGGCGUUGCGGAGGGCAUGGAGUUUACUGUGAAGCCGGCGCGUGAGCGAUCCGGUGGAGUGAUCACUAGUGAGAAUGAUGACAUGAGUAGCGACAAACAGGGUGAGAGACCCUGUCGCCGAAAGUCCAAGGGUUCCUGCUUAAAGCUAAUCUGAGCAGGGUAAGCCGACCCCUAAGGCGAGGCCGAAAGGCGUAGUCGAUGGGAACCAGGUUAAUAUUCCUGGGCCAGGAAGUAGUGACGAAUCUUGAAGGUAGUUCAUUCUUAUCGGAUUGAAUGGGCUGCUAAGAGGUUCCUGGAAAUAGCUCUUCCAUAAGAUCGUACCCUAAACCGACACAGGUGGACCGGUAGAGAAUACCUAGGCGCUUGAGAGAACGAUGUUGAAGGAACUCGGCAAAUUACCUCCGUAAGUUCGCGAGAAGGAGGCCCAGUUUCUACGCAAGUAUUGACUGGGGGCACAAACCAGGGGGUGGCGACUGUUUACUAAAAACACAGGGCUCUGCGAAGUCGCAAGACGACGUAUAGGGUCUGACGCCUGCCCGGUGCUGGAAGGUUAAAAGGAGGGGUGCAAGCUCCGAAUUGAAGCCCCAGUAAACGGCGGCCGUAACUAUAACGGUCCUAAGGUAGCGAAAUUCCUUGUCGGGUAAGUUCCGACCUGCACGAAUGGCGUAACGACUUCCCCGCUGUCUCCAACAUCGACUCAGCGAAAUUGAAAUGCCGGUCAAGAUGCCGGCUUCCCGCGGUUAGACGGAAAGACCCCGUGCACCUUUACUACAGCUUCACACUGGCAUCAGGCACAAUUUGUGCAGGAUAGGUGGUGGGCUUUGAAACCAGGACGCCAGUUCUGGUGGAGCCUCCCGUGAGAUACCACCCUCAUUCUGCUUGAUGUCUAACCGCGGUCCGUUAUCCGGAUCCGGGACCCUGUGUGGUGGGUAGUUUGACUGGGGCGGUCGCCUCCCAAAUUGUAACGGAGGCGCGCGAAGGUUGGCUCAGACCGGUCGGAAAUCGGUCGUUGAGUGCAAUGGCAGAAGCCAGCCUGACUGCGAGACUGACAAGUCGAGCAGAGUCGAAAGACGGCCAUAGUGAUCCGGUGGUCCCGAGUGGAAGGGCCAUCGCUCAACGGAUAAAAGGUACGCCGGGGAUAACAGGCUGAUGGUGCCCAAGAGUCCAUAUCGACGGCACCGUUUGGCACCUCGAUGUCGGCUCAUCUCAUCCUGGGGCUGGAGCAGGUCCCAAGGGUAUGGCUGUUCGCCAUUUAAAGAGGUACGUGAGCUGGGUUUAGAACGUCGUGAGACAGUUCGGUCCCUAUCUGCCGUGGGUGUAGGAUACUUGAGAGGAGUUGCCCCUAGUACGAGAGGACCGGGGUGAACGAACCACUGGUGGACCAGUUGUCAUGCCAAUGGCAGUGCUGGGUAGCUACGUUCGGACAGGAUAACCGCUGAAGGCAUCUAAGCGGGAAGCCCCCCUCAAAACAAGGUAUCCCUGAGGACCGAGGUAGACCACCUCGUCGAUAGGCCGGAGAUGUAAGCGCGGCAACGCGUUCAGUUGACCGGUACUAAUUGUCCGAUAGGCUUGAUUUGAUCCAG
rnacentral:rRNA from 1 species